GAUGAACGCUAGCGGCAGGCCUAAUACAUGCAAGUCGAACGAGAUUACGAGGCUUGCUUCUUAUGAAAGUGGCGCACGGGUGCGUAACGCGUAUGCAACCUACCUUAAUCAGGGGGAUAGCCCGAAGAAAUUCGGAUUAAGACCGCAUAAAAACACAGGAUAGCAUUAUCCAAUGUUCAAAUAUUUAUAGGAUUAAGAUGGGCAUGCGUGUCAUUAGCUAGUUGGCGGGGUAACGGCCCACCAAGGCGACGAUGACUAGGGGAUCUGAGAGGAUGACCCCCCACACUGGUACUGAGACACGGACCAGACGCCUACGGGAGGCAGCAGUAAGGAAUAUUGGUCAAUGGAGGGAACUCUGAACCAGCCAUGCCGCGUGCAGGAAGACAGCCCUCGGGGUCGUAAACUGCUUUUAUUCGGGAAUAAACCUUUCUACGUGUAGGAAGCUGAAUGUACCGAAGGAAUAAGGAUCGGCUAACUCCGUG
rnacentral:rRNA from 1 species